UUUAAUAAACUAAAACUUUGAAUUUUAUAAAGCUAUUAGAUUAGCUAUUAAAU
rnacentral:tRNA from 1 species